CUCAGAUUAGCCAUGCAUGUCUAAGUACAUGCCGUAUUAAGGCGAAACCGCGAAUGGCUCAUUAAAUCAGUUAUGGUUCCUUGGAUCGUACCUUACUACUUGGAUAACUGUGGCAAUUCUAGAGCUAAUACAUGCAGCAGAGCUCCGACCUUCGGGGACGAGCGCUUUUAUUAGACCAAAACCAAUCGGACCUCGUGUCCGUACGAUGUGGUGACUCUGUAUAACUUUGGGCUGAUCGCACGGGCCCGUCCCGGCGACGUAUCUUUCAAGUGUCUGCCUUAUCAACUGUCGAUGGUAGGUUACUCGCCUACCAUGGUCGUAACGGGUGACGGGGAAUCAGGGUUCGAUUCCGGAGAGGGAGCCUGAGAAACGGCUACCACAUCCAGGAGGCAGCAGGCGCGCAAAUUACCCACUCCCAGGAACGGGGAGGUAGUGACGAAAAAUAACAAUACGGGACUCUUUUGAGACCCCGUAAUUGGAAUGAGUACACUCUAAAUCCUUUAACGAGGAUCCAUUGGAGGGCAAGUCUGGUGCCAGCAGCUGCGGUAAUUCCAGCUCCAAUAGCGUAUAUUAAAGUUGUUGCGGUUAAAAAGCUCGUAGUUGGAUCUCAGUUCCAGACGGGUGGUCCGCCUACCGGUGGUUACUGCCCGUUCUGAACAGCCAGCCGGUUUCCCUUGAUGAUCUUCACCGGUUGUCUUGGGUGACCGGCAAGUUUACUUUGAAAAAAUUAGAGUGCUCAAAGCAGGCGUGACGCCUGAAUAAUGGUGCAUGGAAUAAUGGAAUAGGACCUCGGUUCUAUUUUGUUGGUUUUCGGAACACGAGGUAAUGAUUAAGAGGGACAGACGGGGGCAUUCGUAUUGCGACGCUAGAGGUGAAAUUCUUGGACCGUCGCAAGACGAACUACUGCGAAAGCAUUUGCCAAGAAUGUUUCCAUUAAUCAAGAACGAAAGUUAGAGGUUCGAAGGCGAUCAGAUACCGCCCUAGUUCUAACCAUAAACGAUGCCAGCCAGCGAUCCGGCUGUGUUCCUCAAAU
rnacentral:rRNA from 1 species